ACGAACCAGGCUUCGGCCUGGGGCAAAGCCGCGAACGGGUGAGUAACGCGUGGGUAACCUGCCCCAAUGACCGGGACAACUCGGGGAAACCCGAGCUAAUACCGGAUGUGCAUCCCUCACACCAGUGAGGAAUGGAAAGGAAGCUUCGGCCUCCGCAUUGGGAUGGGCCCGCGGCCCAUUAGCCUGUUGGUGAGGUAACGGCUCACCAAGGCUGCGAUGGGUAGCUGGUCUGAGAGGACGAUCAGCCACACUGGGACUGAGACACGGCCCAGACUCC
rnacentral:rRNA from 1 species